AACGAACGCUGGCGGCAGGCUUAACACAUGCAAGUCGAGCGCAUCGCAAGAUGAGUGGCAGACGGGUGAGUAACGCGUGGGAACAUACCCUUUUCUACGGAAUAGCUCUGGGAAACUGGAAUUAAUACCGUAUACGCCCUACGGGGGAAAGAUUUAUCGGGGAAGGAUUGGCCCGCGUUGGAUUAGCUAGUUGGUGGGGUAAAGGCCUACCAAGGCGACGAUCCAUAGCUGGUCUGAGAGGAUGAUCAGCCACAUUGGGGCUGAGACACGGCCCAAACUCCUACGGGAGGCAGCAGUGGGGAAUAUUGGACAAUGGGCGCAAGCCUGAUCCAGCCAUGCCGCGUGAGUGAUGAAGGCCCUAGGGUUGUAAAGCUCUUUCACCGAUGAAGAUAAUGACGGUAGUCGGAGAAGAAGCCCCGGCUAACUUCGUGCCAGCCGCCGCAGUAACAC
rnacentral:rRNA from 1 species